rnacentral:rRNA from 1 species
CUGCUGCCUUCCGUAGGAGUUUGGACCGUGUCUCAGUUCCAAUGUGGGGGACCUUCCUCUCAGAACCCCUACGCAUCGUCGGCUUGGUGGGCCGUUGCCCCACCAACUACCUAAUGCGCCGCAUGCCCAUCCGUGACCGGGGUCGCCCCCUUUCGGCCGGCAAGGGGAUGUCCCCUCCCGGCAUUAUGUUGUAUUAGGCGGGAUUUCUCCCGGUUAUCCAUCUGUCACGGCCAGGUUGCAUACGUGUUACUCACCCGUGCGCCGGUCGCCGGCGG